CCCUUAGAUGUCCUGGGCCGCACGCGUGCUACACUGACGCAUACAGCGAGCACUUUCCAGUUCCGAGAGGCUACUGGUAAUCAUCAAUAUGCGUCGUGAUGGGGAUAGAUCUUUGGAAUUCUGGAUCUUGAACGAGGAAUGCCUAGUAAUCGCAGGUCAUUAGCCUGCGAUGAUUAAGUCCCUGCCCUUUGUACACACCGCCCGCCGCUACUACCGAUUUCGAGUGGUCAGGUGAAUCUUUCGGACUGUGGGCGCCCUUGAGGUGUUCGCGGAAAGUCAGGUAAAUCUUAUCACUUAGAGGAAGUAAAAGUCGUAACA
rnacentral:rRNA from 1 species